rnacentral:rRNA from 1 species
UACGUAGGGCGCAAGCGUUAUCCGGAAUUACUGGGCGUAAAGGGCUCGUAGGCGGCCAACUAAGUCGGAUGUGAAAUCCCCAGGCUUAACUUGGGAACUGCAUCCGAUACUGGAUGGCUUGAAUCCGGGAGAGGGAUGCGGAAUUCCAGGUGUAGCGGUGAAAUGCGUAGAUAUCUGGAGGAACACCGGUGGCGAAGGCGGCAUCCUGGACCGGCAUUGACGCUGAUGAGCGAAAGCCAGGGGAGCAAACGGG